AUAAAAGAUAACGUAAAUCGUGAUUAUCUAUGUAAUAGAUCAUUUCAGUCCAUCGAGUCGAGGAAGCCAUGAAGUUUAUUUUGUGUCUUGUAUUUUUGGUUACAGCAGCGCAGUGUGCGCCCUUGGAAACCCAUUGUAGCCUCAUCUGUCCAUUCAUUUACUUGCCAAUAUGCGGAUCCAAUGGAAGGACUUACUCUAACGAGUGUGAACUAAAUGUUGAAAACUGCCUCAACAAAACUCACAUCACCCGUCUAAGCCAAGGCUCGUGCCCUGACGCUACCACUGAUGCGGGACAACUGGGUUAACUGUGCGUGUUCGCAUGUUCAAACUCGAAAUUACGUUGCUGUACUUUAGUAUUUGCCAUCUGAAUAAUAAAAAAGUGUUACAUAUUGUA